rnacentral:rRNA from 1 species
GACGAACGCUGGCGGCGUGCCUAAUACAUGCAAGUUGAGCGAUGAAGAUUGGUGCUUGCACCAAUUUGAAGAGCAGCGAACGGGUGAGUAACGCGUGGGGAAUCUGCCUUUGAGCGGGGGACAACAUUUGGAAACGAAUGCUAAUACCGCAUAACAACUUUAAACAUAAGUUUUAAGUUUGAAAGAUGCAAUUGCAUCACUCAAAGAUGAUCCCGCGUUGUAUUAGCUAGUUGGUGAGGUAAAGGCUCACCAAGGCGAUGAUACAUAGCCGACCUGAGAGGGUGAUCGGCCACAUUGGGACGGAGACACGGCCCAAACUCCUACGGGAGGCAGCAGUAGGGAAUCUUCGGCAAUGGACGAAAGUCUGACCGAGCAACGCCGCGUGAGUGAAGAAGGUUUUCGGAUCGUAAAACUCUGUUGGUAGAGAAGAACGUUGGUGAGAGUGGAAAGCUCAUCAAGUGACGGUAACUACACAGAAAGGGACGGCUAACUACGUG